rnacentral:rRNA from 1 species
UACGAGUGGUGCUAGCGUUAUUCGGAUUUAUUGGGCGUAAAGGGUGCGUAGACGGUGCGACAAGUCUGUUGUUAAAUUCCUCGGCUCAACUGAGGACCCGCAAUGGAAACUGUCGUGCUAGAGGAUGGAAGAGAGAAGUGGAAUUCUUGGAGUAGCGGUAAAAUGCGUAGAUCUCAAGAGGAACACCGAUGGCGAAGGCAGCUUCUUGGUCCACUCCUGACGUUGAGGCACGAAAGCGUGGGGAGCAAACAGG